AGAGCGAACGCUGGCGGCGUGCUUAACACAUGCAAGUCGAGUGCGCGUCCGUAGCAAUACGGAUGGCGCACGGCGCACGGGUGCGUAACACGUGGGCAACCUGCCCUUUGGAUGGGGGAUACCCCCGCGAAAGCGGGACUAAUACCGCAUAAUAUUCAGAAGACCUCGGUCUUUUGACUCAAAGCCCGCAAGGGCGUCUAAGGAGGGGCCCGCGCCCGAUUAGCUAGUUGGUGAGGUAACGGCUCACCAAGGCUUUGAUCGGUA
rnacentral:rRNA from 1 species